GCCUAGCUGGCUCUGUUGGUAGAGUGUGUGAUUGUUGAUCCCAGGAUGAUGAGUUCAAGCCCUAUGUUGGGCA
rnacentral:tRNA from 1 species